rnacentral:rRNA from 1 species
GACGAACGCUGGCGGCGUGCUUAACACAUGCAAGUCGAACGGUAAGGCCCUGCUUUUGUGGGGUGCUCGAGUGGCGAACGGGUGUGUAACACGUGUGUAACCUGCCCUUGACUUUGGUAUAACUUCAGGACACUGUGUCUAAUACCGGAUAGGAGCUCCUGCUGCAUGGUGGGGGUUGGAAAGUUUCGGCGGUUGGGGAUGGACUCGCGGCUUAUCAGCUUGUUGGUGGGGUAGUGGCUUACCAAGGCUUUGACGGGUAGCCGGCCUGAGAGGGUGACCGGCCACAUUGGGACUGAGAUACGGCCCAGACUCCUACGGGAGGCAGCAGUGGGGAAUAUUGCACAAUGGGCGGAAGCCUGAUGCAGCAACGCCGCGUGCGGGAUGACGGCCUUCGGGUUGUAAACCGCUUUCGCUUGUGACGAAGCGAGAGUGACGGUAAUGGGUAAAGAAGCACCGGCUAACUACGUG